rnacentral:rRNA from 1 species
UACGUAGGGGGCAAGCGUUGUCCGGAUUUAUUGGGCGUAAAGCGCACGUAGGCGGAUUGCUAAGUCAGGGGUGAAAAUCCUGGGAGCUCAACUCCAGAACUGCCCUUGAUACUGGCGGUCUCGAGUCCGGGAGAGGUGAGUGGAACUGCGAGUGUAGAGGUGAAAUUCGUAGAUAUUCGCAAGAACACCAGUGGCGAAGGCGGCUCACUGGCCCGGUACUGACGCUGAGGUGCGAAAGCGUGGGGAGCAAACAGG